rnacentral:rRNA from 1 species
CCACCCGAGACUCAGUGAAAUUGAACUCGCUGUGAAGAUGCAGUGUACCCGCGGCAAGACGGAAAGACCCCGUGAACCUUUACUAUAGCUUGACACUGAACAUUGAGCCUUGAUGUGUAGGAUAGGUGGGAGGCUUUGAAGUGUGGACGCCAGUCUGCAUGGAGCCGACCUUGAAAUACCACCCUUUAAUGUUUGAUGUUCUAACGUUGGCCCGUAAUCCGGGUUGCGGACAGUGUCUGGUGGGUAGUUUGACUGGGGCGGUCUCCUCCUAAAGAGUAACGGAGGAGCACGAAGGUUGGCUAAUCCUGGUCGGACAUCAGGAGGUUAGUGCAAUGGCAUAAGCCAGCUUGACUGCGAGCGUGACGGCGCGAGCAGGUGCGAAAGCAGGUCAUAGUGAUCCGGUGGUUCUGAAUGGAAGGGCCAUCGCUCAACGGAUAAAAGGUACUCCGGGGAUAACAGGCUGAUACCGCCCAAGAGUUCAUAUCGACGGCGGUGUUUGGCACCUCGAUGUCGGCUCAUCACAUCCUGGGGCUGAAGUAGGUCCCAAGGGUAUGGCUGUUCGCCAUUUAAAGUGGUACGCGAGCUGGGUUUAGAACGUCGUGAGACAGUUCGGUCCCUAUCUGCCGUGGGCGCUGGAGAACUGAGGGGGGCUGCUCCUAGUACGAGAGGACCGGAGUGGACGCAUCACUGGUGUUCGGGUUGUCAUGCCAAUGGCACUGCCCGGUAGCUAAAUGCGGAAGAGAUAAGUGCUGAAAGCAUCUAAGCACGAAACUUGCCCCGAGAUG